GUUUUAAUAGUUUAAAGAAAACGUUGGUCUUGUAAACCAAAAUUAGGUCUCCUUUAAAACU
rnacentral:tRNA from 1 species